GUGAAUCCUAGACCAAAAUGUCACCCAAAAAGGAAAUCAAAAUUGAGACAGAAAACAGUAUAUAUAAAGUUAAACUGCUUAAGCAGAUAAUGGUGCAAGAAAGGACAUAGAACAAUCAUAAAGGAAUGUAAACCUUGCUGAUCGGUCACAUGAUCAGAAAAUAUCCCAAUGAGAAAGAAAGAAAAAAAAUAAAAAUUCAUCUUAAAUGCAUGUGAAUACAGGUUCUGGCCACUUCUUCAGCUUUACAGUCGUGUGGCUAGAAUCUCAGUAGCUUUCAUUUUCAUCCCCUUCUGUGGAUCUCCAUCAUAAACAAGCUUCUUUCCCAGUGGGUCCUGGCCUUCUUCCAAUUGAGAAGUCCAUCUCUAAUUGAAUGAGAAAGCCUUUGAUCUUCAACCGCAACAGCAUACAUCAACGGAGGUAGCUGGUGAGAUCUAGAAGUAGAAGGAUCCCUCCAAAUUGGGUGGGCCUAAGGUGACAGAGACACAACAUGCUUGAAACCACCAGCUCUCUAUGCUUUUAUCAUGGGUUGAAGAAAAGAUUGUCUGCAGGAAAAAUGGAUUCAUAUCUUGGGUGGUAGUAUAAGUGUAGCAAAGAGAAGAAGAAGAAGACCAAAGGUAGCAGUACGGCAAUGAUAAAAUCAGUAUUUCUUGGACCCCAUUGAGGCAUAUAUCCCAUGUGAAGGUAUGAAAAAUUUCACGUGGGAGUGUCCAGUUGGCUAGGCCAAUUGAUUGGG
rnacentral:lncRNA from 1 species